GAUGAACGCUAGCGGCAGGCUUAAUACAUGCAAGUCGAACGGGAUUGGGAAGCUUGCUUUUCAUGAGAGUGGCGCACGGGUGCGUAACACGUAUGCAACCUGCCUUGUCCAGGGGGAUAGCCCGUUGAAAGACGGAUUAAGACCGCAUAACAUCAUUAAAUGGCAUCGUUUAAUGAUCAAAUAUUUAUAGGGACAAGAUGGGCAUGCGUCUGAUUAGCUAGUUGGCGGGGUAAUGGCCCACCAAGGCGACGAUCAGUAGGGGAUCUGAGAGGAUGACCCCCCACACUGGUACUGAGACACGGACCAGACUCCUACGGGAGGCAGCAGUAAGGAAUAUUGGUCAAUGGGCGCAAGCCUGAACCAGCCAUGCCGCGUGCAGGAAGACGGCCCUACGGGUUGUAAACUGCUUUUAUACGGGAAUAACCCCGGUUUCGUGAAACCGGCUGAAUGUACCGUAAGAAUAAGGAUCGGCUAACUCCGUGCCAGCAGCCGCAGUAA
rnacentral:rRNA from 1 species